rnacentral:rRNA from 1 species
GACGAACGCUGGCGGCGUGCCUAAUACAUGCAAGUAGAACGCUGAAGGGAGAGCUUGCUCUUCUGGAUGAGUUGCGAACGGGUGAGUAACGCGUAGGUAACCUGCCUGGUAGCGGGGGAUAACUAUUGGAAACGAUAGCUAAUACCGCAUAAUAGCAGUUAUUGCAUGAUAACUGUUUGAAAGGUGCAAUUGCACCACUACCAGAUGGACCUGCGUUGUAUUAGCUAGUUGGUGGGGUAACGGCUCACCAAGGCAACGAUGCAUAGCCGACCUGAGAGGGUGAUCGGCCACACUGGGACUGAGACACGGCCCAGGCUCCUACGGGAGGCAGCAGUAGGGAAUCUUCGGCAAUGGACGGAAGUCUGACCGAGCAACGCCGCGUGAGUGAAGAAGGUUUUCGGAUCGUAAAACUCUGUUGUUAGAGAAGAACAAGUGCUAGAGUAACUGUUAGCGCCU